AACGAACGCUGGCGGCAUGCCUAACACAUGCAAGUCGAACGAGACCUUCGGGUCUAGUGGCGCACGGGUGCGUAACGCGUGGGAACCUGCCCUUAGGUUCGGAAUAACUCCCCGAAAGGGGUGCUAAUACCGGAUAAUGUCUUCGGACCAAAGAUUUAUCGCCUUUGGAUGGGCCCGCGUUGGAUUAGCUAGUUGGUAGGGUAAAAGCCUACCAAGGCGACGAUCCAUAGCUGGUCUGAGAGGAUGAGCAGCCACACUGGGACUGAGACACGGCCCAGACUCCUACGGGAGGCAGCAGUGGGGAAUAUUGGACAAUGGGCGAAAGCCUGAUCCAGCAAUGCCGCGUGAGUGAUGAAGGCCUUAGGGUUGUAAAGCUCUUUUACCCGGGAUGAUAAUGACAGUACCGGGAGAAUAAGCACCGGCCAACUCCGUG
rnacentral:rRNA from 1 species